rnacentral:rRNA from 1 species
GUGUCAGCAGCCGCGGUAAUACAGAGGGUGCAAGCGUUAAUCGGAAUUACUGGGCGUAAAGCGCGCGUAGGUGGUUUGUUAAGUUGGAUGUGAAAGCCCCGGGCUCAACCUGGGAACUGCAUCCAAAACUGGCAAGCUAGAGUAUGGUAGAGGGUGGUGGAAUUUCCUGUGUAGCGGUGAAAUGCGUAGAUAUAGGAAGGAACACCAGUGGCGAAGGCGACCACCUGGACUGAUACUGACACUGAGGUGCGAAAGCGGGGGGAGCAAACAGGAUUAGAUACCCUGGUAGUCCACGCCGUAAACGAUGUCGACUAGCCGUUGGGAGCCUUGAGCUCUUAGUGGCGCAGCUAACGCAUUAAGUCGACCGCCUGGGGAGUACGGCCGCAAGGUUAAAACUCAAAUGAAUUGACGGGG